GGCACAGUGGUAGAGUGGUUAAUACGUGAGACUCGAAUUCCCAAAUGUGGCCGAGUCCGCAUUGGGCAAACUUAGACCAUCUCAUGCCUUCGGGCGCGUAGGUUCGAAUCCUGCCUGUGUCG
rnacentral:tRNA from 1 species